rnacentral:rRNA from 1 species
GUCUACGGCCAUGCUACCCUGAACAAGCCUAAUCCUGUCUGAUCUCGGAAUCUAAGCAGGGUCGGGCCUGGUUAACACUUGGAUGGGAGAUCACCUAGGAAGACUAGGUGCUGUAGGCG